UCUGUUUAAAUAUUUCACUUCAUUUAGAUUCAGGAUGUUUAGAAAGCAGAGGAUAAUAACAAGUGACUUUAAGUGUGCUGUUUACCAGCAAUUUUAUUUUUUAGGCAUUGUCAAUUUGCUCAUAAAAAAUUCAAGAGGAACGAGUGGAAACUGAAAAUAUUACUUUUUUUUGGAGAAAAGUUGGAGCAUCAGUUAAAAACAAAAUGGAGCCAUCAUCAGUCAUCAUGUGAAGGCAUAAAUAUCAGCUGCUGUUAUUGUCUUCAUGUACGUCUGAGUGUUUGUGUGCCAUCGUGGCAAAAUGACGACCUCCCCCUCCCCCGUCUCUGACAGCUGUUUAUUUUAUCUCUCAGUCUGAGUGUGAGUGGAUGUCACGGCCGCCAUGUUAGCUUGCUGGAGACAGAAGAGCAGGCUGUGCAGGUGCGUCUCACAGCAAUGAUUACUUCUGGCUGAAAAUGAGCUCGCGUUGAAGGUCUGGGACGCUGACUAUCCAUCAGCAUUACUGUAAAUGUGCCAGUGUUAACCAAAUGGCUAAUCUGGAAUGGUUGUUCAUUGCCCAGAUGUUAAAUUAGCCAUUAAAACAAGAAUAAAACAACAAUAUCCACAGAAGAGAGCAAAGGAAAUGAAGCAAACAGCAUGCAGUAAAGAAAUAAGACUGUGCUGAGCAUGAAAUCCAAUCACAUUACAGAUUUAAAAGAUUUUCAAGCAGAGAUAUCCAGACCUGCAGCUCUUGUGCAAGAACUUCGAGGCUCUGCUGGAUCCGAUGUCCUGGUUUUACCCUGAGACCUCCCAGUAGGACGUGUCUGGAACGCCUGGCCCAGGAGGCGUCCGAUGCCCAGACCACC
ensembl:lncRNA